GCGCGAGGUGACGGCUGUUGGGGAGCAGGGAGAGGUGCCACUCCCCUCGGCGGGGCUGCGCAGGCCUGGGAGCUGUCACCGCCAUGGGGCUCCGCAGGAAAAACAAGAGCCCGCCGGUGCUAAGCCAUGAGUUCGUCAUUCAGAACCAUGCGGAUACUGCAUCCUGCCUGGUGAUGGGCCUCCUGCUGGGGCUUAUGUUUGAGGUCUCAGCCAAGUACGCCAUCAUCUUUAUUGCUGUGCAGUACAAUGUCACCUAUACUACUGAUGACAACAGUGAGCAAUUUCAUUUUUAUGACUAUGGUCCAAAAGACAUUGCCACAAUCUUCUUCUACAUGCUCGUAGCUAUUAAUCUGCAUGCUGUAAUCCAGGAGUACAUAUUAGAUAAAAUUAAUAGACGUCUGCAUUUGUCAAAAACAAAGCACAGCAAAUUCAAUGAAUCUGGACAGCUAGCAUUUUUCUACUUGUUUUCAUUUAUAUGGGGAGCAAGUAUUUUGAAUGGAGAAGAAUUCAUGAUGAACCCAACCUCACUCUGGAAAGAUUAUCCCCAUUGUCGUAUGCUUUUUCAGGUAAAAUUCUUCUAUAUUUGCCAGAUAGCAUAUUGGCUUCAUGCACUGCCGGAGCUAUACUUCCAAAAGAUCCGAAAGGAAGAUAUUCCAAGGCAGCUAUGUUAUAUUUGCCUUUACAUUGCUCAUAUCUCUGGUGCCUAUAUAUUAAAUUUGCAGCAUUUGGGGCUAAUUCUGAUGGUACCUCACUAUUUAGUGGAACUCAUUUUUCAUGCCUCGCGUCUUUUCUACUUCAGUGAUGAAAACAAGCAAAAAGGAUUUACCAUUUGGGCUUUACUUUUCGUAAUGGUGCGUCUUUUGACCCUAACUUUAUCUGUCCUCACAUUUGGAUUUGGUCUGGCAAGAGUAGAGAAUCCAGGUUUUUCCAUAGCAGACGGGAACUUCAAUGUACUCCCUGUGAGGAUUGGCUGCCUAGGUGCUGUUUGUCUAACACAGGCCUGGAUGAUGUGGAAAUUUAUAAAUUUUCAGCUGAAGAAAUGGAGAGAGCAUGUUAAGAACCAGAUUCCAAAGAAAAAAAUAACUAACACAAAGAACAAACGAACAAAAAAGGAACCAAACAGAGCAAACUUUGUCAAUGGAGCAGCAAAAUUAGAAGGUGGAGUGUCGCCAAGAAUAAGAAAAUCAAAACCAGUAUGAGAAUACAAGCUAGUAUCAGAAGACAACAUUUGACAGAAGACUGUGACUUAAAAAAUUGACACUGCAAAGCUAUUAUUUGGAUGUCUUAUUAUUUCAAUGGACACUAUCAGUAUUAUGAAUGUCACAUAGAGUAACAAUCAAAUCGGACACUGAUUUCUUCCUGUUUCAACCAUGUAGCCUUUGCUGAAGUUGCAUAAAAUCUGUCAGCACAGAUGCUGAGGCGUGUUCCCUAGUGAUGCGAUAUUGUAAUGAAUGAUCCUAUUAAGCUCUUUUUACAUUUAUGUUAAGAUUUUAAUUUAUGUAAAUCAUAAGACUUUCAGAGCAACUGUAAGUUGUAUCUUGUCACAAUCUAGUUGAUAUAUCAGAGGUCCUUUGCAAGUAGUCAUGUGCACAUGACAAUAUAAAAUAUUACUGUGCAUCUGGUUUCUUGGGAAACCAAAAUUAGGUCCUCUUGCUUCUAACCUUCCUUUUCUCCUAGUGGGUAUGUAAGAAUUGUUUUAUCUCCUGAAUAUUCUUUUAAAGAUAAAAGGAAGGGCAUCUUUUAGGCAGUGCAGAAAAGCUUACAUUGCAAAUCUGUAUCUCUGUUUUUGAACUGUAUAAUAGGAAUGAACAGAUUGUCUUGGUUUUAAAAGCAGAGUAAUAAGAAACCUUCUUUAGCUGAUACAUUUUACAUUCUCUUCUUACAGAGGUUUUGAGUUGGCCACAUGAAGUGGAAUAGAGUGGAGGUUGUAGGGUGGCAUAGUGAUGUGGACAAUACUGUUGCUCUUGCCUGCUCCUGUUCAAGUCCACUAAAAACUGAAAUCAUUCAGAGUAGGUUCUAAAAAUGCAGGAUGUUGUCUGGGAGCUGGAGUUUUAAGCAAGAUCUGAAAAAUGCUAGAAUUUCUAAAUGCUCAGUCUUGUUGAAUGCUAUGUAACUCUGUAAAUAAUUAAUUCGUUUCAUUAUUUUGUUGAUAAAUGAAUUGGGAUGGAGGAGGCAAUGUUUCAUCUAUAUUUGUUUCUUAAUUUUAAGAUGGGCUGCUGCAUCUACUUAAAUUGAAAGCACAUACCUACUGCCUUUCUUAAACCAUCUGAAUGUUGACUUUUACCACAAAAAUUUUCUAGUAGUUAAAGAAGUGGGUAAAGCAACACUGAUCUUGUAAACUAUGAAAUUUUAGAUGCUUAGCUUUAAGUCUCAGUAGCUGGAACUGAGCUUAUGAAUUUACUGACUAUGAGCAAGAGACAAAUGUUUACAAACUAAUAUUGUUGUAACAUUUGUUACAAUUAUCCCCUAAAAUGCUUAUAUACAGUUACUUUCAGUGAAACCAGCAAUGUACUCCAGAUUACAUUGACUAAUGUGUGACUGUCCGAUUGCAACAAAUAUACUGGUUUGUUUUUAAUUUCCCUUAAGAUGUAUUUUCUUUUCAGUUAAUUGACUUGUCUGUUUUCUGGUUAAACAAUUAGUGUUGAAAUGUGUUGUUUUUUAAAAAUGCAUUAUGAAAAAUGAAUUUGCACAAAUAUAAUCAUUGUAUAAGCUGAAAGGCUACUGAAAAUAUCAUAAAUUAUUUUUCUGAAACACUAGUUUAUUUUACACGUUUUGUUUUACACUGUUUUGCAUGAGGAUUUGUUGAUUGUUUAAUGUAUAAUCAAUAAUCCAUACCACAAGAGCCAUGUUUUCAGUGUAUGUAAGGUUCUGAUUAUUCACUUUAUAAGAUAUUGCUAAAGAAAACUUUCUCCAUUUAAAAAAAAAAAAAUUUCUCUAAUGAUGUAUUUCUGAUGCAUCACAUCUUACUCUAUAAUUUGGUUUAAUUUCCUUUGUUGCCAUUAAAUAAUCUGGUUUAUUAUUAUGCUAAACCAGUUACCCUUGAUAGUCUGGUCAGUUAGGCAGAUUAGCCACACAAACUGGAUUGCUAGUCUAUGAAGAAGGUAUGUAUGUACUUUAGAUUUAUUUAAAAAAAAAUAAAAAUCAAAAUAUACUCCAGUUCUUCAACA